UCAGUUAGAUCCAUAAUUUCAACAAACUCUGCAACAUGUAAGCUAGUAUUCCCUAAUAGCUAGAGCACAUCCCCAAGGUCUCUGCUCUCUGGAAAAUGGUGCAUGUUCUCGAAGAUAACAGGUACCCACCUUUAUAUAUAAAACUCAACUCCUCUAGAACUUCCAAGAAAGUGAAUACAUACUUUGCAUGCCUUCUCCCAGAGACUGAUUCUAUAUGAACUAGAAUCUAUCUCCUCCAUAGAGCUUUGAGAUUUUCUGACUCUAUCUUUGAACUCCAUGCUCCACAUGGCAUGCUCUGAGCUUCCACUCUCCAUUCCCUCAUUCUAAUCUACCGCACUUCAUGCUCGACUCCAGUACUAAGCACAAUCUAAAAGCUUAGACCUCUUUUAUUUACUUCUGUAGGAGGUUGACUUAGGCAAUGGAGGGUCCACUAUCAAGAAACCCCCCUGCAUGAAGACUUUCUUAUCUUUGGUGGGUUUGCAAGACCUGGCUUGAGAGAUUGACCGAGGACCCGACACAACUGUCUGACUCGGAGGUUCUGACUAGCUAUUCUUUGACCUUCUCUCUCUCUCUCUCUCCCAGCUCUUGCUUAGCGGCCUGAGUUAGCUCAACUCCCUAACGGC
rnacentral:lncRNA from 1 species